AUGCACGCCAUUCUCUGUUGUCUUUAUUUACACAACUUGUUAGAAGACAGAAAUGCCCUUUUCUAAGUCAUAUGCUAAAAUAUAUGGGUAAAAAUGACAGAUUAUCUCUUUUUUUAUUCAGUCAGGGAGUGAGUGAAUAUUUAUUGAGUUCUGACUUUGUACAAGGUCUAUGUUAAAUAAAUUAAGUACGUAUGGAAUAAGUUGUUGAAUAAAAAGCAUGACUUCCACUUUCUAAGAUAUUAAAAUCAAAUUAAUACGAAAACAGAAUCAAAUCAAACCCACUGAUAUGUUAAAAAAUACAGAUAAACAAACAGGAGAAAAGUCAGCCAUGAACUUACCACCCAAGAAAAUCAUUAUUAAUAGUUUAGUAAUUAUCUUUCUACUGGCCUAACCCUCUGUGGUUCUGCUAGUGCCUUGCACGUAUGUUCAAUCAUCUAUUCUCACUGAGAAAUAUAUUGUGAGCAUCUUUCUGUAUCAAUAGGAUAAAUCUCCAUAUUUUUCCUAAUAGCUUUGUAGCAAGCCAUUUGAUGAAUGCCCUGGAAUUUAUUUAAACAAUCACUUUAGUGAACAUGUAGGUGUCUCCAAGCUUCUGAAACAAUACACAACACUAACAUAAAAAAUUACACACAGCUUUAUGUAUUUGCACAACAAUAUCAUGAACAUACAUUUUUAUCAGAGUCAUGCAUAUUUUUAAACAUUUACAAAGCUUUUAAUCAAUACAUAAUAUAUAUGCAGAAAUGUAAAUAUAUCAAAGUGUAUCGCUUGAUUAAUUUUCAGAGAGUAAACUCAUGAAUAGCAUUCAUUUCAAGAAACAGAAUUUAACUAUAAUGCAAAUCCCCCUAGAGCCCCUACCAGUCUUCAUUUCCCCAGAAGGCAACCAUUAUAUUGACAUUAUACUGAUUAGAAAAAAAAUAUUUAUAUAAAUUAAAUGAGAGUAGGUUCUCUUGUACCAAGCUCCUCUGCAAAAUAUAUCUAUAUUGUCAUGCUUAUUUGCAUAAUGACCAUUCUCAAUAUUACACAUUUUUUAAAAUUUUGUGACAUACCAAAAUUUACUUAUCCAAUACAUUUGGUAAACAUUUAAUGUAGUGAACAGUGGGAAAUCUUCCAGUAUGGGCUAUUAUGAAUGGUGCUGCUGUGAACAUUCUUGCACACGUCUUUUGUGAACAUAUAUGCAUGCACUUCUGAUGGUUAUAUGUGGAAUGUUUGGGUGAUAGGGUAUAUACAGUCAGCUUUAGUAGAUUCAGUCUGAUGCAGUUUUCUAUUGCUUUGUAACAAAUUAUCCCAAAAUUAGUGGUUUAAAAUAACAAUAUAAAACAGAAAAAGUCACAUUUCUGAACCCUACAGGCAGGAAAAGUUAGGACAGGAGCCAUCAAGGGACCAUUCUCACAGUCUCUGUGGGUCAGGAAUCUGUGCACACCUCAGCAAAAUAACACCAAAAGCAAGGUUGGUCAGGUUUGCGGUCAUCUUGAGGAUUGAUUAAGUGCCUCCAGUGAUUAAAAAUCUCUAAACCUCCAGAGGGCAGCAAUGAAGAAUCCCUCAUGGCCUCUGGUUAGAGUUCAGAUUUAGGUACCGAAACACCUAAUAACAAUCCCUCAUCUUUCUUCAUGUCUCAUUCUCGUCAUCAUAAGGAUUGCAUAUAUGAAAUAACUCCUGAAUCUCAACAUUUGCCAAGGAUAUCAAUUCUUACAUUUUCCAGGACUUCACCUAACAGAUCAUCUUUUAACCCUACAAUUUUAGGACACAAUACAAUUAUAUAUGUGUUAAAGAAAUAAUACAUGCAAUAACGUACAAAGCCAAAAAAACAUAAUGGUUCAAAGGUAAUAUAAGUCUAUUCUUUCAAAGCCCAAAAUAGGAGUCUUGAUCAGCAGAGGAUACUUGUUCAAGUGGUAAUUCAGGUACUCAGCCUCCCUCCAUUCUGCACCUCUGCCUUCCUUACCACAUUGUUCCCAAGAUCAUCAUGGUUUUCUUCAUCCAACUAGUGGAGGAUCACUAAUAGAAGAGCUUGAUGGCAUACUCCUGGAGAGUGACACAUUUCAUUGCUGUUAAUCUUCCAUAUUUUGGAACUAAGGAUCUAUGCCUAAUUAUAAGGAAGGCUGGAAAAUGUGAUUCAUGCCCUUAGAAAGAAUUAUAGUAAGGUUUAGUAAACCAGUAGCCAGUUUCUGCUACACAAUGUCCCUAUACAAUUCAGUUCCCCUUUACCUUUCAGUUGAAUCUUUUUAAGACUAGAAAAAGUCACAUUUCUGAGCCCUACAGGCAGGAAAACUUAGGACAGGAGCCAUCAAGGUACCAUUUUUCUUUCAUUCUGGAGGUAACUGUGACACCAUCAGGGCAAGACUGACAACCAGAAGAGCCACAAGCUUAAUGACCGUGCUGAUAUUCAUCCAUAUGAAUGUUCCCCCAUCUACCCCAUUAAGUUUUUGUUCAUUUAUUUAACAAGGAUUUGAAGAGGCUUUCAGUAUUACCAGCUAACAGAAAAACCUAUUGGUGCACACCAAAAAAAUAGGACAAUGGUGAGAGUUUUUACUUUUCUUUUUACGGCAGCAAGUGGUUCACCAAGAUCGAGGACCAAGGGUAAAAGUGAGGCAUGAGGCUGGCACACAGCCUUUUCUCGGGCAACAGAGUGGCGGCAGCUGUCCAAGGUGCUUUGAAAACUUCACGUGGAUGGAAAUGGCAGCCAUUUUUCUACCUUGCUAUCUUCAGGAAUGUAUCAAGAGUUUCUCCUUUGGAAAAACUGUGUCUUUGAGUGUGAUGUGGCUCAUGGUAUUCUAGUUGUCUGUACAAGGAAUCUGUCAGCAUGCAUGUGCCGCUGUGGCAUUCAGUGAUUCUAAGGUUAAUUACAGGUACAAGCAGCUGGCUGUUUCAAGAUAUCUUCUAAUGUGAUCCACCUGA
rnacentral:lncRNA from 1 species